AUUGAACGCUGGCGGCAGGCCUAACACAUGCAAGUCGAACGAGCGGCGGACGGGUGAGUAAUGUCUGGGGAUCUGCCCGAUGGAGGGGGAUAACUACUGGAAACGGUGGCUAAUCCCGCAUACCAUCGGAUGUGCCCAGAUGGGAUUAGCUAGUAGGUGGGGUCAAGGCUCACCUAGGCGACGAUCCCUAGCGUGUCUGAGAGGAUGAACAGCCACACUGGGACUGAGACACGGUCCAGACUCCUACGGGAGGCAGCAGUGGGGAAUAGUGCACAAUGGGCGCAAGCCUGAUGCAGCCAUGCCGCGUGUAUGAAGAAGGCCUUCGGGUUGUAAAGUACUUUCAGCGGGGAGGCGUUACUCGCAGAAGAAGCACCGGCUAACUCCGUGCCAGCAGCCGCGGUAAUAC
rnacentral:rRNA from 1 species